UCCGGUGUAGCUCAGUUGGUAGAGCGGCCCGCUGUUAACGGGUUGGUCGCAGGUUCGAGUCCUGCCACCGGAG
rnacentral:tRNA from 1 species